rnacentral:lncRNA from 1 species
GAAGCUUCAAGACUUUGACAUGUGUGAAAACAUGAAAUGACAGAGUGUUGCUCAGUUACCCAGGCUGGAGUGCAAUGGCAUGAUCUUGGCUCACUGCAGCCUCCACCUCCUGGGUUCAAGCGGUUCUCGUGCCUCAGUCUCCCAAGUAGCUGGGAUUACAGGCUGGAGUGCGAUGGCAUGAUCUUGGCUCACGGCAAACUCCGCCUCCCUGGUUCAAGUGAUUCUCCUGCCUCAGCCUCCCGAGUAGCCGGGAUUACAGGCAUGUGCCACCAUGCCCCGUUGGCCAGGCUGGUCUCGAACACCUUACCUCAGGUGAUCCUCCCACCUUUGGGAUUACAGACCCUGCAUGUGAUGGAUCAGCUGACACCAUCCAGAUCGGUAAACUGGUUCAUCUGAUCUUGUGCCCUCCACCCAGGAACUGACUCAGCGCAAGAAGACAGCUUCGACUCCUUGUGAUUUCAUCCCUAACCAAUCAGCACUCCUGGCUCACUGGCUUCCCCCAACCCACCAAAUUGUCCUUAAAAACUCUGCUCUCCAAACGCUGGGGGAGACUGAUUUGAGUAAUAAUAAAACCCUGGUCUCCUGCA